rnacentral:rRNA from 1 species
GACGAACGCUGACGGCGUGCUUAACACAUGCAAGUCGAACGGUGAAGCGCCUUCCUUUUUGGUGGGUGUGGAUGAGUGGCGAACGGGUGAGUAACACGUGAGUAACCUGCCCCCUUCUUCUGGAUAACCGCAUGAAAGUGUGGCUAAUACGGGAUAUUCUGGGUCUGUCGCAUGAUGGGUCUGGGAAAGAUAUUGUUUCGGUGGGGGAUGGGCUCGCGGCCUAUCAGCUUGUUGGUGGGGUGAUGGCCUACCAAGGCGGUGACGGGUAGCCGGCCUGAGAGGGUGGACGGUCACACUGGGACUGAGACACGGCCCAGACUCCUACGGGAGGCAGCAGUGGGGAAUAUUGCACAAUGGGCGCAAGCCUGAUGCAGCGACGCCGCGUGAGGGAUGGAGGCCUUCGGGUUGUGAACCUCUUUCGCCAGUGAAGCAGACCUGCCUCGUUUGUGGGUGGGUUGACGGUAGCUGGAUAAGAAGCGCCGGCUAACUACGUG